AGGGGCCAGCUGGCUCAGUCCUCUCUGUGACAUCACCUUGGUAGGGCAGGUGCAGGUGUUUGCCAACCACCUGGAAGCAGGGCAGUGCUGGGGGCCCCGUGUUGGCACCCUCCAGGAGUUAAUGGAGGUAACAAGCGAUGUCUCUGACAAGCAGUGUGACUCGGGACAGGGAGUUGGUGUUUUGAACGCACUAGUCUGCUGGCAAAGCAGACACACAACCCUCUCCUAUGUCACGAUCUGGUGGGAGGAGUCCUGCUGGGCGCGGACGUGCUGCACCUUGACCAGCACGCAUCCCUGUUCCGACCUGGUGAUGUCUUCUCCGUCUCUGCAGCAGGGAAGUGAACCAUUAAGCUGCUCUCUGCCUUGUGACCCGUGCUCCUCAGUGUCAGUGACAUCACUGUUCUCCGGGUGGAAGAGGGCUGGGGGCAGAGGCUCUGGUUUUGAAGACGGUCAGGAGCACAGACAGCGGGACCGCCUGGUUCGGACAGCACAGGGUCUCCCCUGACUCGCCGGGAAACAGGGCAACAGCCCCUCCUGAGCCUGUCCAGCCUUAGACACCACUGGCCUCGUCUCUUUCUCAGUUUGGAUCUCCCAACCUCUGCCACUGAAAACGUGGACCCUGCUCCCAUUGCCCCAAGACCACCUUCCCUUCGUGGACAACUGCAGCCACGAGGCCCACACCUGGGUCCUCUGGUCGGCAAAGGUAUCUUUGCCACAAGAGAUCUCUACCCAGAGCUAAUGAGAAAGAUCAGAAGCAAGGCGGACCCACCCUCCACCCCAAGGCCUCGCAGACUCGCAAGACCUGAUCGGCAGCUGCUGAAAAAAGACACACAGCCCCCCUUACUUUCUUUGACCUUUUUUCCUCUAAAGCAAAUGCUUUACAUUUCUGGGAGAAGGGCAGAAAAUCCUGACCAUAGGACACAAAGUCCUAUUGUGGCUGGGACAAGGAUAAGUAAAACAACAAUUUUUUACAAAUCUGUACUUCUGAGGUGUCCGGGUGGCUCGGUCGGUGGAGCAUCCGACUUCCGCUCGGGUCACGAUCUCGAGUUUCAUGAGUUGGAGCCCCGCGUCGCGUCGGGCUCUGUGCUGGCAGCUCAGAGCCUGGAGCCUGU